rnacentral:rRNA from 1 species
GACGAACGCUGGCGGCGUGCUUAACACAUGCAAGUCGAACGGAAAGGCCCUGCUUUUGUGGGGUGCUCGAGUGGCGAACGGGUGAGUAACACGUGAGUAACCUGCCCUUGACUUUGGGAUAACUUCAGGAAACUGGGGCUAAUACCGGAUAGGAGCUCCUGCUGCAUGGUGGGGGUUGGAAAGUUUCGGCGGUUGGGGAUGGACUCGCGGCUUAUCAGCUUGCUGGUGGGGUAGUGGCUUACCAAGGCUUUGACGGGUAGCCGGCCUGCGAGGGUGACCGGCCACAUUGGGACUGAGAUACGGCCCAGACUCCUACGGGAGGCAGCAGUGGGGAAUAUUGCACAAUGGGCGGAAGCCUGAUGCAGCAACGCCGCGUGCGGGAUGACGGCCUUCGGGUUGUAAACCGCUUUCGCCUGUGACGAAGCGUGAGUGACGGUAAUGGGUAAAGAAGCACCGGCUAACUACGUG